GACGAACGCUGGCGGCGUGCUUAACACAUGCAAGUCGAGCGGUAAGGCCCUUCGGGGUACACGAGCGGCGAACGGGUGAGUAACACGUGGGUGACCUGCCUCUAGCUCUGGGAUAAGCCUGGGAAACUGGGUCUAAUACCGGAUAUGACUCCACGGCGCAUGUUGUGGGGUGGAAAGCCUUGUGUGGCUAGAGAUGGGCCCGCGGCCUAUCAGCUUGUUGGUGGGGUNANGGCCUACCAAGGCGACGACGGGUAGCCGGCCUGAGAGGGCGACCGGCCACACUGGGACUGAGACACGGCCCAGACU
rnacentral:rRNA from 1 species